AGUUAAUUAUAUUUUUUAAUUAUACAUGAUUAUUCAAAUAAAUAUUAAAUAUUAUUAAACACUACAACAGGAACAGAGCAUAGCGGCGAAAAAUUGGAAGACUUUCACCUUGCUGCCACAAAACAAGGUUGCGGAAGAAGGAUCUUUUUGUGUGCUGCAACAUCAACGGCGAUUGCAUCAAAAAACGCCGCUAGAAACUCGCGAAGAGUCCUUAGUAGUGCGCAAAACACUGCCGUCGCUGUUCUACCGUGUCACUGCUGUCGAUCCAUCGCCAUCGAGAUUUUGCCUCAUCCACAGUUCCUGAAACCUAUACUCUUUCAGCCAAGGUGUGCGAAAUUCCUAACUUCUGCUCCACCUUGUGCCUCUGUUUGGGUUGUCAAGUCGCACAGCUGCCAUCCGUACUUCUCCCACCGGCGUCGAAGUUUUUCAUCUCCUUGAUCGUGCGUGAAACUAUUACACUAUCCUCCACCGUGCAAAGGCAGAGCUAUCGCGGCCUCUCCCCUGUCGCUGGAACAGAGCAUAGCGGCGAAAAAUUGGAAGACUUUCACCUUGCUGCCACAAAACAAGGUUGCGGAAGAAGGAUCUUUUUGUGUGCUGCAACAUCAACGGCGAUUGCAUCAAAAAACGCCGCUAGAAACUCGCGAAGAGUCCUUAGUAGUGCGCAAAACACUGCCGUCGCUGUUCUACCGUGUCACUGCUGUCGAUCCAUCGCCAUCGAGAUUUUGCCUCAUCCACAGUUCCUGAAACCUAUACUCUUUCAGCCAAGGUGUGCGAAAUUCCUAACUUCUGCUCCACCUUGUGCCUCUGUUUGGGUUGUCAAGUCGCACAGCUGCCA